UAAAAUAAUUAAGGGCACACAGGGAAUGCCUAGGUAGUAAGAGCCGAUGAAGGACGUGGUAAGCUGCGAUAAGCUUGGGUUAGCUGCAAACGAGCGCCAACCCCAAGAUUUCCGAAUGGAGCAAUCUGCUAAGAUGGAGUCUUAGCACGAAAGAGGGUACCGAGUGAACUGAAACAUCUAAGUAACUCGAGGAAAAGAAAGUAAAAACGAUUCCCCAAGUAGCGGCGAGCGAACGGGGAUGAGCCUAAACCAUAUAAGUGUCAAGGAUACAGCCGUUGCUUAUAUGGGGUUGUGGGAAGAACGUUUGAAGAACUGUAAGAUAUUCAACAUAUCUAAUGACUGAACUGGAACUAGUUGGAAAGCUGGAUCGUAGAAGGUGAUAAUCCUGUACAGGUAAACUCAUUAGAAUGUAUGUUCUCUCCCAAGUAACAUGGAACACGAGGAAUUCUGUGUGAAUCUGCGAGGACCAUAUCUCGUAAGGCUAAAUACUCUUACUAACCGAUAGCGUAUAGUACCGUGAGGGAAAGGUGAAAAGAACCCCGGGAGGGGAGUGAAAUAGAACCUGAAACUGUGUGCUUACAAGCGGUCAGAGCUCUUCGGAGUGAUGGCGUGCCUUUUGGAGAAUGAUCCUGCGAGUUACGUUCAGUGGCGAGGUUAAGUAUAACGGAGCCGAAGGGAAACCGAGUCUGAAUAGGGCGACAUAGUCGCUGGGCGUAGACGCGAAACCUGGUGAUCUAAGCCUGUCCAGGGUGAAGCUGUGGUAAGACACAGUGGAGGCCCGAACUCACCGCCGUUGAAAAGUUGGGAGAUGAGGUAGGUUUAGGGGUGAAAAGCCAAUCGAACUAGGAGAUAGCUCGUUCUCUCCGAAAUGCAUUUAGGUGCAGCCUUGAGUGUUUAAUUAUGGGGGUAGAGCACUGAAUGAACUAGGGGGCAUAUUGCUUACUGAAUUCAAUCAAACUCCGAAUACCAUAAUUCAAAGCUCAGGAGUGAGACUAUGGGAAUUAACUUCCAUUGUCAAAAGGGAAACAACCCAGACCACCAGCUAAGGUCCCUAAUUAUAACUAAGUGGGAAAGGAGGUGGAGAUUCACAAACAACCAGGAGGUUGGCUUAGAAGCAGCCAUACCUUUAAAGAGUGCGUAAUAGCUCACUGGUCGAGAGUCUCUGCGCCGACAAUGUAACGGGGCUAAGUUAUAAACCGAAGCUGUGGAAUUGCGCAAGCAAUUGGUAGGAGAGCGUUCUGUAGGCCGUAGAAGGAGAAGCGUAAGCAACUCUGGAGGUAUCAGAAGUGAGAAUGCAGGAAUAAGUAGCGAGAAAGGGGGCGAGAAUCCCCCUCGCCGGAAGACCAAGGUUUUCAGGGUAAAGCUUGUCUUCCCUGAGUAAGCCGGGACCUAAGCCGAGGCUAAAAUGCGUAGGCGAAUGGAAAACAGAUUAAUAUUUCUGUGCCAGUUAUAUUUUGUGAUGGAGGGACGCAGAAGGGUAUGUGCGCGGGAGAACGGAAGUUCCCGUAAAAGCAUGUAGAGUGGUCUAGUAGGAAAAUCCGCUAGAUUAGACUUGAGGUGUGAUAUAUAGUCGUAAGAUGAAUGCACAAAUCCCACGCUGCCGAGAAAAGCUUCUAACGUUAAGGUAUAACUGCCCGUACCCGAAACCGACACAGGUGGUCAGGAUGAGAAAUCUAAGGCGGACAGGCUAACUCUCGUUAAGGAACUCUGCAAAAUUGCCCCGUAACUUUGGGAGAAGGGGUGCCCCUGGAUGUUAAUAUUCAAGCAAUAUGAAGCAUUUGGGGGUCGCAGUGAAGAGGCUCAAGCAACUGUUUAACAAAAACACAGGUCUAUGCUAAGCUGUAAGGCGAUGUAUAUGGGCUGACACCUGCCCAGUGCCGGAAGGUUAAGAGGAGGAGUGAGAGCUCCGAAUUGAAGCCCCGGUGAACGGCGGCCGUAACUAUAACGGUCCUAAGGUAGCGAAAUUCCUUGUCGGGUAAGUUCCGACCCGCACGAAAGGUGUAACGAUUUGGGCACUGUCUCAACGAGGGACCCGGUGAAAUUGAAGUACCUGUGAAGAUGCAGGUUACCCGCGACUGGACAGAAAGACCCCAUGGAGCUUUACUGUAACCUAAUAUUGGGUUCUGAUAUUCGACGCACAGGAUAGGUGGGAGGCUUGGAGCAUGGUCCUCUGGGAUCAUGGGAGCCGCCGUUGGGAUACCACCCUUCGAAUAUCGGGAUUCUAACCGCAGGAGCAACGAUCCUCGGGACAGUGUUAGGCGGGCAGUUUGACUGGGGCGGUCGCCUCCUAAAGGGUAACGGAGGCGCCCAAAGGUUCCCUCAGCGCGGACGGAAACCGCGCGACGAGUGUAAAGGCAGAAGGGAGCUUGACUGCGAGCCAAACACGGCGAGCAGGUACGAAAGUAGGGCUUAGUGAUCCGGUGGCAUCCAAGUGGAAGGGCCAUCGCUCAACGGAUAAAAGCUACCCUGGGGAUAACAGGCUAAUCUCUCCCAAGAGUCCAUAUCGACGGGGAGGUUUGGCACCUCGAUGUCGGCUCAUCACAUCCUGGGGCUGAAGUCGGUCCCAAGGGCUGGGCUGUUCGCCCAUUAAAGUGGUACGUGAGCUGGGUUCAGAACGUCGUGAGACAGUUCGGUCCCUAUCCAUCGCGGGCGUAAGAGAUUUGAAGGGGGCUGCUCCUAGUACGAGAGGACCGGAGUGGACGGACCGCUGGUGUACCAAUUAUCCUGCCAAGGGUAUAGUUGGGUAGCUACGUCCGGAACGGAUAAACGCUGAAAGCAUCUAAGCGUGAAACCAUCCUUAAGAUGAGAUCUCUCAUAGAGUAAUCUAGUAAGACACCUUGAAGAUUACAAGGUUGAUAGGCAGGAUGUGUAAGCACAGCAAUGUGUUAAGCUGACCUGUACUAAUAUGUCGAGGGCUUGACUUA
rnacentral:rRNA from 1 species